rnacentral:rRNA from 1 species
AACGUAGGGGGCGAGCGUUAUCCGGAAUCACUGGGCGUAAAGGGCAUCUAGGCGGUGUAUUAAGUCCUGCGUGAAAGCUCCUGGCUCAACUGGGAGAGCGCGUGGGAGACUGGUGCGCUAGAGACUCGGAGAGGGGUGUGGAAUUCCCGGUGGAGUGGUGAAAUGCGUUGAGAUCGGGAGGAACACCAGUGGCGAAGGCGGCACCCUGGCCGAGUUCUGACGCUGAAGUGCGACAGCGUGGGGAGCAAACGGG